rnacentral:rRNA from 1 species
CCUACGGGAGGCAGCAGUGGGGGAUAUUGCACAAUGGGGGGAACCCUGAUGCAGCGACGCCGCGUGGGUGAAGAAGCGCCUCGGCGCGUAAAGCCCUGUCAGCAGGGAAGAAAAUGACGGUACCUGAAGAAUAAGCCCCGGCUAACUACGUGCCAGCAGCCGCGGUAAUACGUAGGGGGCAAGCGUUAUUCGGAUUUACUGGGUGUAAAGGGGGCGUAGGCGGCGGUGCAAGCCAGGAGUGAAAGCCUGGGGCCCAACCACGGGACUGCUCUUGGAACUGCGUGGCUGGAGUGGAGGAGGGGCAGGCGGAAUGCGUGGUGUAGCGGUGAAAUGCGUAGAUAUCAGGAGGAACACCGAUGGCGAAGGCGGCCUGCUGGACUGCAACUGACGUUGAGGCCCGAAAGCGUGGGGAGCAAACAGGAUUAGAUACCCCUGUAGUC